rnacentral:misc_RNA from 1 species
UGUUCGAGCGUCAGUAUAACCACUCAAGCUUAGCUUGGUAUUGGGGUUCGCGGUCUCGCGGCCCUUAAAAUUAGUGGCGGUGCCCAUCUGGCUCUAAGCGUAGUAAUUUAUCUCGCUAUUGGGUCCAGUGGUUUACUUGCCAACAACCCCUAACUUCUAAGGUUGACCUCGGAUCAGGUAGGGAUACCCGCUGAACUUAA